rnacentral:tRNA from 1 species
GGCCCCGUGGCGAAAUGGCAGACGCAGCGGACUUAAAAUCCGCAGCCCGUAACAGGGCGUGUGGGUUCAAAUCCCACCGGGGCCAC